GACACUCCGGAGAACUCGACGACAAUCCCCUCCAUAUGGGGAUAGGAUGGCUAUACCACCCCAAAAGCAGACUGUGAGCUAGAUCUAUCCUCUCCAAGUGAGGAUACACUACAACUAGGGUCAACAACCCAAUCAAAUCCUCUCCAAGUGAGGAUGCUCUACAACUAGAGUCAACAACCCAAUCAAAUCCUCUCCAAGUGAGGAUGCUCUACAACUAGAGUCAAUAACCCAAUCGAAUCCUCUCCAAGUGAGGAAGCACUAUAACUAGGGUCCACAACCCAAUCAAGUCCUCUCCAAGUGAGGAUGCCAUACACUAGGGUCAACAUCUCUCGCGGAAUCAU
rnacentral:lncRNA from 1 species